GGACUGUGGAGAAAACAUGUACACCAAACACUUCUCUAGCGAUUGUGAGUUCUUUGGUGUGUGAGUGGAAAGAAAGAAUUUGCUUUCAAAUAUAAUAGGGCAGAACUUGUCAAAAAGAAAAAAUCACCGAGUUCAAAUUUGGGAUGAUAUGAGCCUGGGUAUCCUACUAGAGAGCUUUUCAAGUAUUACUGAGACCAGAGACGCAAAUUUUCAGAAGUAUGAAACUGUGCACUUCGCAAAACAAAAAUGAAGCAUCCAUUGACUACAGUAUUAAGGAGUCACAAUUGGAG